AUUGAACGCUGGCGGAAUGCUUUACACAUGCAAGUCGAACGGCAGCACGGGUGCUUGCACCUGGUGGCGAGUGGCGAACGGGUGAGUAAUACAUCGGAACGUACCCAGUUAUGGGGGAUAACUAACCGAAAGGUUAGCUAAUACCGCAUACGCCCUGAGGGGGAAAGCGGGGGACCGUAAGGCCUCGCGUAAUUGGCGCGGCCGAUGUCUGAUUAACUAGUUGGUGAGGUAAAGGCUCAACAAGGCGACGAUCAGUAGCAGGUAUGAGAGGAUGAUCUGCCAGACUGGAACUGAGACACGGUCCAGACUCCUACGGGAGGCAGCAGGGGGGAAUUUUGGACAAUGGGCGAAAACCUGAUCCAGCCAUUCCGCGUGAGUGAAGAAGGCCUUCGGGUUGUAAAGCUCUUUCGGCAGGGAAGAAACGGUCUAGGUUAAUACCUUGGGCUAAUGAUGGUACCUUAAGAAGAAGCACCGGCUAACUACGUGCCAGCCGCCGCCGUAA
rnacentral:rRNA from 1 species